rnacentral:rRNA from 1 species
CCCUUAGAUGUUCUGGGCCGCACGCGUGCUACACUGAGUGGAUCAGCGGGUCAGGUUGCGCGAAAGUGUUUCCUAAUCUUUAAAUCCGCUCGUGAUGGGGAUUGACGGUUGCAAUUUUCCGUCAUGAACGAGGAAUACCUUGUAAGCGCGGGUCAUCAUCCCGCGCUGAAUACGUCCCUGCCCUUUGUACACACCGCCCGUCGCUCCUACCGAUUGAGCGUUUUGGUGAGCACUCUGGAGUGCAGCAAUGCAUAAAUGAAUGCAAACCUGAGCGUUUAGAGGAAGGAUAAGUCGUAACA